rnacentral:rRNA from 1 species
UACGGGGGGGGCAAGCGUUGUUCGGAAUUACUGGGCGUAAAGGGCUCGUAGGCGGCCAACUAAGUCGGACGUGAAAUCCCCUCGGCUUAACCGGGGAACUGCAUCCGAUACUGGAAGGCUCGAGUUGGGAGAGGGAUGCGGAAUUCCAGGUGUAGCGGUGAAAUGCGCAGAUAUCAGGAGGAACACCGGUGGCGAAGGCGGUCUCUGGGCCGACACUGACGCUGAUGCGCGAAAGCCAGGGAGCGAACGGG